CCGUGUAACAGUUCUGAGACCUAGAAUAUAAGACGAGGUUUAAGACUGUCCCACGGGC
rnacentral:pre_miRNA from 2 species